UACGUAGGGUGCAAGCGUUGUCCGGAAUUAUUGGGCGUAAAGAGCUCGUAGGCGGUCUGUCACGUCGGCUGUGAAAUCCCGAGGCUCAACCUCGGGUCUGCAAUCGAUACGGGCAGACUAGAGUUCGGUAGGGGAGACUGGAAUUCCUGGUGUAGCGGUGAAAUGCGCAGAUAUCAGGAGGAACACCGGUGGCGAAGGCGGGUCUCUGGGCCGAAACUGACGCUGAGGAGCGAAAGCGUGGGGAGCGAACGGG
rnacentral:rRNA from 1 species